rnacentral:sRNA from 1 species
AAGGAUCAUUACCAAUCCCUGUGCAGCCUGGGCUCAUACCUAGGCUGGAUAGGCUUGAUACUGCCCCUGUAUUUUGCGCACUCAUGUUUCCUUGGUGGGCUUGCCUGCCAAAAGGACUAUACCAUAACCUCUUUAAUCUUGUAUCAACGUCUGAAUAAUAUAAUUAUUACAACUUUCAACAACGGAUCUCUUGGUUCUGGCAUCGAUGAAGAACGCAGCGAAAUGCGAUAAGUAGUGUGAAUUGCAGAAUUCAGUGAAUCAUCGAAUCUUUGAACGCACAUUGCGCCCCUUGGUAUUCCAUGGGGCAUGCCUGUUCGAGCGUCAUUUGUACUCUCAAGCUCUGCUUGGUGUUGGGUGCUUGUCCUGUCCCCUGCGGUAGGACUCGCCUAAAAGUAAUUGGCAGCUAGGUAUCCGGUAGUAGAGCGCAGCACAAAUUGCGAUGUACGCCGGCAUAAUCAGCAUCCAUUAAGCAUAUAAACACGCUUGACCUCGGAUCAGGUAGGGAUACCCGCUGAACUUAA